GGGGUCGACUGGUUUUGACAGCGAGUCGAAUUGAUACAUAAGCACGUCGAGAACUGGGACAAUUCUCGUUAAUAAAAGGUUUCAAAACAUUUACACGGCGAAGGAAACUACGCUCUUGCUGCAUAAUCCGAAUUAUAGUAAGAUUAGCCUCGUCCUACCAGGUAGGAAAGCAGGAUUCUCCUCGAAAGCUCUGGUUUUUAGCGUUCGAAACAGGGGAAUCGUAAAUUAAAACCUAGAAUUUUGUAAGCUACGGGCAAUUUUCGAAACUAAAGUAGCUAAGUAAAGUGUGGCUGUUUCUGGCCUAGCACUGCGUCGAAAAUUCAAUCAGGAAAUAAGCGCGUAGAAAGUGUAUGAAUUGCUUGUUUGGACCCGGGUUCGAUUCCCGGCGACUCCACUU
rfam:Flavobacterium sp. FPG59 Contig_176, whole genome shotgun sequence.